CAGCCGCCGCGGGAAUACCGAGGGUGCAAGCGUUAAUCGGAAUUACUGGGCGUAAAGCGCGCGUAGGUGGUUUGUUAAGUUGGAUGUGAAAUCCCCGGGCUCAACCUGGGAACUGCAUCCAAAACUGGCAAGCUAGAGUAUGGUAGAGGGUGGUGGAAUUUCCUGUGUAGCGGUGAAAUGCGUAGAUAUAGGAAGGAACACCAGUGGCGAAGGCGACCACCUGGACUGAUACUGACACUGAGGUGCGAAAGCGUGGGGAGCAAACAGGAUUAGAUACCCCGGUAGUCCCUGUCUCUUAUAC
rnacentral:rRNA from 1 species